rnacentral:rRNA from 1 species
UACGAAGGGGGGCUAGCGUUGCUCGGAAUCACUGGGCGUAAAGGGUGCGUAGGCGGGUCUUUAAGUCAGGGGGUGAAAUCCCCCGGGCUUAACCUGGGAACUGCGUUUGAAACUGAAAGGCUAGAGUGUGGCAGAGGGGGGGUGGAAUUCCACGUGUAGCAGUGAAAUGCGUAGAGAUGUGGAGGAACACCAGUGGCGAAGGCGGCUUUUGGUCUGUAACUGACGCUGAGGCGCGAAAGCGUGGGAGCAAACAGG